rnacentral:rRNA from 1 species
AUCCAGACUCCUACGGGAGGCAGCAGUGGGGAAUAUUGCACAAUGGGGGAAACCCUAAUGCAGCGACGCCGCGUGAGCGAUGAAGUAUUUCGGUAUGUAAAGCUCUAUCAGCAGGGAAGAAAAUGACGGUACCUGACUAAGAAGCCCCGGCUAACUACGUGCCAGCAGCCGCGGUAAUACGUAGGGGGCAAGCGUUAUCCGGAUUUACUGGGUGUAAAGGGAGCGUAGACGGCGAUGCAAGCCAGAUGUGAAAGCCCGGGGCUCAACCCCGGGACUGCAUUUGGAACUGUAUAGCUGGAGUGUCGGAGAGGCAGGCGGAAUUCCUAGUGUAGCGGUGAAAUGCGUAGAUAUUAGGAGGAACACCAGUGGCGAAGGCGGCCUGCUGGACGAUGACUGACGUUGAGGCUCGAAAGCGUGGGGAGCAAACAGGAUUAGAUACCCCUGUA